AUUGAACGCUGGCGGCAGGCCUAACACAUGCAAGUCGAGCGGAUGAAGGGAGCUUGCUCCUGGUUUCAGCGGCGGACGGGUGAGUAAUGCCUAGGAAUCUCCCUGGUAUUGGUGGAUAACGUCCUGAAACGGGUGCUACUACUGCCUACGUCCUGCGGGUGAAAGUGGGGGAUCUUCGGACCUUAUCGUAUCAGAUGAGUCUAGUUCGGGUGAGCUAGUUGGUGGGUUAAGGGGCUACUAAGGCGACGAUCCGUAACUGGUCUGAGAGAAUGAUCAGUCACACUGGAACUGGAACACGGUCCAGACUCCUAAGGGAGGCAGCAGUGGGGAAUAUUAGACAAUGGUCGAAAGCCUUAUCCAGCCAUGCCGCGUGUGUGAAGAAGGUCUUCGGAUUGUAAAGCACUUUAAGUUGGGAGGAAGGGCAGUAAGUUAAUACCUUGCUGUUUUGACGUUACCAACAGAAUAAGCACCGGCUAACUUCGUG
rnacentral:rRNA from 1 species